rnacentral:rRNA from 1 species
UUCCGGAGCUAACGCGUUAAGUCGACCGCCUGGGGAGUACGGCCGCAAGGUUAAAACUCAAAUGAAUUGACGGGGGCCCGCACAAGCGGUGGAGCAUGUGGUUUAAUUCGAUGCAACGCGAAGAACCUUACCUGGUCUUGACAUCCACAGAACUUUCCAGAGAUGGAUUGGUGCCUUCGGGAACUGUGAGACAGGUGCUGCAUGGCUGUCGUCAGCUCGUGUUGUGAAAUGUUGGGUUAAGUCCCGCAACGAGCGCAACCCUUAUCCUUUGUUGCCAGCGGUCCGGCCGGGAACUCAAAGGAGACUGCCAGUGAUAAACUGGAGGAAGGUGGGGAUGACGUCAAGUCAUCAUGGCCCUUACGACCAGGGCUACACACGUGCUACAAUGGCGCAUACAAAGAGAAGCGACCUCGCGAGAGCAAGCGGACCUCAUAAAGUGCGUCGUAGUCCGGAUUGGAGUCUGCAACUCGACUCCAUGAAGUCGGAAUCGCUAGUAAUCGUGGAUCAGAAUGCCACGGUGAAUACGUUCCCGGGCCUUGUACACACCGCCCGUCACACCAUGGGAGUGGGUUGCAAAAGAAGUAGGUAGCUUAACCUUCGGGAGGGCGCUUACCACUUUGUGAUUCAUGACUGGGGUGAAGUCGUAACAAGGUAACCGUAGGGGAACCUGCGGUUG